CUGGCGGGCUGGCACCGCCGAAAUUGCCCUUCCCUAGGCGGAGCUUGUGCCUUCUCAUGGCACAGAGGGCAGCGUUGGCUCCUGAGUCUCAAGAUGGCAGAAUUAUUUAUGGAAUGUGAAGAAGAGGAGCUAGAACCCUGGCAACAGAGAGUGAGAGAAGUGGAAGAGGAUGAUGAAGACGAUGAUGAUGAGCCAAUCUUUGUUGGGGAAAUCUCCAGCUCAAAGCCAGCUGCUACAUAUAUAUUGAACAGAGUCAACCUCAGCUCACCACGAAGGGGGAUACAGAAUGGUGCACCCAGUAGAGGUGCGGUCGCUGCGUUCAAGUCCGAGGGUCAGCAGUUCGAGCCGCCUGCCUCCAGCCCCGGCGCCGCGCCCGCCCCGGCAGCGUUUCAGGCUGCGCCCAGAGCUGCCGCCGGCUCGGUGGCACUUCAGCCAUUGGCUGGAGCAGUGAAUGUUUCAGCAACUUCACAAACACUGCAGAGACCGCUUGCUGGGUGUUUGUCAACACAGCAGGUGCCUGGGUCAAGUUCUGGAAUAGCACAGCCUGUUAGCAGACCUGUAACCAUUCCAGUGACGACACAGCCGGUAUCAAGAAGUAUUACAGUUCCUGUAGUGGCUCAGCCUGUAUCCAGGCCAGAGACUCCUGCAACAGCACAGCCUGUAAUACUCAACCAGGAUUAUAUUAUGGAUUCUGCACCAGAUGCACCAGAUAACACAUCUGGUAUUCUGUUUGGUGUGAGACAGAGCUCGGGAGUUCCACAGUACCAGACUGGGCCAGCUGUGACUGUAACAGGGACAAAUGCUGCAUCCAGCACCAUUAAAAAUGGAGGACCUUUUCCACGGGCUUGUCCAAAGUGUAAUAUACAUUUCAAUCUUAUGGAUCCUCUAAAAAAUCACAUGAAGUAUUGCUGUCCAGAUAUGGUAAAUAACUUUUUCUCAGAAGUGGUCAAAACAGAAUGUGUGAGCACAAACAGGACCAUGGAAUCUGAGAAAGGAAAGCUGAUUAUGUUAGUUAAUGACUUUUAUUAUGGGAAGGAUGAAGGUGACCUCCAGCAGGUACAACAGGAGCAGAAGACUCAUACGACAUUUAAAUGCAUCAGUUGUCUCAAAGUUCUUAAAAAUAACAUAAGGUUUAUGAACCACAUGAAACAUCACUUGGAGCUUGAGAAGCAAAGCAAUGAAAGCUGGGAAAGCCACACGACGUGCCAGCACUGUUACCGGCAGUUCCCCACGCCGUUCCAGCUGCAGUGCCACAUCGAGAGCACGCACACGCCGUACGAGUCAUCCACUAUUUGUAAAAUCUGUGAAUUAUCAUUUGACACAGAGCAAGUUCUUUUGCAACAUAUGAAGGACAAUCAUAAGCCCGGUGAAAUGCCGUAUGUUUGCCAGGUGUGCAGCUACAGAUCCUCAGCUUUUUCAGAUGUAGAAGCACAUUUUAGAACAGUUCAUGAAAACACAAAACAUUUGCUAUGCCCAUUUUGCCUCAAAGUUAUUAAAAUUGGAGCACCGUAUAUGCAUCAUUACAUGAGGCAUCAGAAAAAGGGAAUAUACCGUUGCACUAAAUGCAGACUGCAAUUUUUAACAUGCAAAGAAAAAAUGGAUCACAAGACUCAGCAUCACCGAACAUUCAGGAAACCCAAGCAAUUAGAAGGCUUGCCUCCUGGAACAAAGGUGACUAUUCGAGCAUCUUUGGGAUCUCAUCAGUCAGGAGCAUCGGCUACAUCUUCUGUUAGUACAAGCAGUUCCACAUUUCAGUUAUCACCUAAAAAUAAAAAUGCAACCACUAAAAAUCAUAACAAAUCUAAUACAAGUAAAUCAAGAGGAAAAUCAAAACAAUCUACACCGAGGAAACAAAAUGCAUGGACAAACAGCAGAAGAAAAAAAGAGCCUUCAAAUAUAGCAUUUCAUAAUCUGAGGUAUCUUGUGGGAACUCACAAAUGCAUUGAGUGUUUCUCAGAAAUAAAAGAUUUUGCAAGCCACUUUCCUGCAUAUGUCCACUGUAGUUUAUGCAGAUACAACACCAGCUGUAGCAAAGCCUAUGUCAAUCACAUGAUGAGCUUUCACAGUGCUCGCCCCAGUAAAAGGUUUUGGAUCUUUAAGAAGCAUUCAGAGCAGCUACGAGGUGUGACUGUAGUGUGUCUCAACUGUGAUUUCCUGGCUGAUGUUUCUGGCUUGGAUGACAUGGCCACACACCUGAGUGAGAACCAGACUCAUACUUGUCAAGUUAUUGUAGAGGAAGUUUCCACAGGUAAUGCAACUGCUGCACAAGUGUCUCAGGCAGUUGAAAGUGAGCAGGUAUCCUAUACUGCCUUGGCUCACUGAUACAUCAUUGUGGACCAGAAAAUUGAACCCAGUCCAGCUUGGGAUUAUUUUGCAAACAAGAGCACGACUCUUCAGAUGAAACAAAAGAAUGCAGUAGAAAUCAAACUAAAAAAGUUGCAUCCGUUGAAAAGAGGGAAGACUCGUCACUGUCACAUCCAGAAAAUGUCCGUCGUUUGGAACUCCCUGGCAACUGCUCAAAGAAUUCUUUGCAUGAGAAAAGAGCAUACUGUGAAUCAGCUAAUAGCAGACAGUUAGUAGAUGAGAAACAAAAAUGUAUUCCUGAUGAAAGUGAGAUGAAAAGGUGCCAAAGUUCGGCUGCCAUCCUGAAUGAGCAGACGAAAGCGCGUGGCUGGGAUGGAACUGCGCUUUCAGCCAGGAACGUGAGGGACUUAAAGCUGAGCCUGGGGGAAGAUGUCAGCUUUGAGCAGUUCCUGAGAAAGAGGGAUGAGCCUGAAUCUGUGAGUUCAGACAUCAGUGAACAAGGCAGUAUUCAUUUGGAGCCUUUAACUCCAUCAGAAGUACUAGAGCACGAGGCUACUGAAAUUCUCCAAAAAGGUAAUGUCGCACCUUCGGCAAAGAAGGCUGGACAGCUCACUGAGCAAACAGAUGAGACUUCUAGAGAAAGCAAUCCCAGCAGAAUGGAAACAACUGCAGACAAGACAGAUGAGAAUGAAGCAAGCUGAAAUUGUGUUCAUUUUAUUGUUUGUUUUAAACUGUGCUAAGAACACCAUGGACCAUUCCUGAUGAGUGUGCUCACAGAUGCUAAAGACUAAAAAUUUUUCAAGGGAGGAGAAGAGAAAGGGACACCAAAGGGAAGUUUGCAUAUGGAGGUAGCAUGUAUGUGUAUGUAUGACUGAAUUCAUUAAGCUUCAAAAAGGUAACAUGUUAAAAUAUAUCUUCCUGUCUCUUGGAUGUGAUAUAUUACUAGAUUGAUACUUGAUAAGAGGUAUAAAUUCUAAUUUUUUAAUAGUUAACUAGCCCAGGAUAAGGUGAUUUGUUCGCCCAGAAAGUAUUUUUCUAAAUUCUUUAGUGUGAAUAUCAUUGAACAGGGGAUUGAGUAGGAAUUUCCUUCUGAUGCUGACAUGGAGCACACUUAUAAUGGAGGUUAUUGGUCUGCUGAUAGUUUAGGUAAAUAUAAACCUUGGAACUUGGUGUCACAUUCCUGUCUGUAAAAGCAUGUAAACAGAAGUAUAUGAAUUUGUGCACCUCUGUACAGGUGUAAUCCUGCCAGGCUGUAAACUUACCUUAAUAAACUUUCAGUGAAAGUGAAAUUAUUACAAUAAAAAACUAUAUUUGUGGAGUUUUCACUGUGCAGGCUGUGCAGAACUACCAAACCUAGCUCUAGGAAGUAGGACACAAUGCUGAAAGUACUGUAGCCCUUAGGCUUUUACCAUUGGGUUGAUUCCUCUUAGGCAUAGACCCAUAGGAAUGGUCUGUAAGUCACACCAAAGUAUGGUUUGAUGUAAAAAUGGUUCUAAGCAAAAAUAAGGAAAACUCCAAACUGGAAACACCACCUGGCAUGCAUUUUGCCAUUUUGCAGCUGCUACUGGCUAACUUAAAAAUAGGACACAAGGGCAUAUAAAGUAGUAUUGUACAGUUCAAUUUCAGGACUUUUUGUAGUCUGAGUUAUGUACUGAAAAAUGGCUGCUGGUUUUAGUUUGGUUUUUUGGUUUUGAGGUUUUUUUUUUGUCUUCUAGUUAGCUAGAUUUAGGAAUGCAUAUGAUAACAGUAGCUUGCUCCUUUGGUUUCAUUGCUCCAUUUGAAACAUUCAGAAUGUGCUUUUGACUUACAUUUUUGUUUUUAAUGAAUGUUAAAUGUUUUGAACAGCUGUUAAAGUACUGCUGUAAAUUAUUACUUUUUGAGUAAAUAUUUGCAACAAAAAAU